rnacentral:rRNA from 1 species
UACGUAGGGUGCAAGCGUUGUCCGGAAUUAUUGGGCGUAAAGAGCUUGUAGGCGGUUUGUCGCGUCUGCUGUGAAAUCUCGGGGCUUAACUCCGAAACUGCAUUCGAUACUGCCGUGCUUGAGGACUGGAGAGGAGACUGGAAUUUACGGUGUAGCGGUGAAAUGCGUAGAUAUCGUAAGGAAGACCAGUGGCGAAGGCGGGUCUCUGGACAGUCCUGACGCUGAGGCACGAAGGUCAGGGGAGCAAACGGG